rnacentral:rRNA from 1 species
AUUGUAGGCUGAAACUCGCCUAUAUGAAGUCGGAAUUGCUAGUAAUCGCAGAUCAGCAUGCUGCGGUGAAUACGUUCCCGGGCCUUGUACACACCGCCCGUCACACCAUGAGAGUUGGGAAUACCCGAAGCCUGUGAGCUAACUAAUAGAGGCAGCAGUCGAAGGUAGAAUCAAUGAUUGGGGGUGAAGUCGUAACAAGGUAAC